rnacentral:rRNA from 1 species
GCGGUAAAAAAGCUCGUAGUUGGAUUUCUGUUGAGGGCGACCGGUCCAUACAACGUAUGCGCAUCUGGCUCGGCCUCGGCAUCCUCUCGAUAGACGUUUCUGCGCUUGAUUGCGUGGAGCGGAUCUCGGGACUUUUACUUUGAGGAAAUUAGAGUGUUCACGGCAGGCUAUCGCCAGAAUACAUUAGCAUGGAAUAAUACUAUAGGAUCUUGGUUCUAUUUUGUUGGUUUCUAGAAUUGAGAUAAUGAUUAAUAGGGACAAUUGGGGGCAUUCGUAUCAACACGUCAGAGGUGGAAUUCUUGGAUUGUGUUGCGACGAACUACUGCGAAAGCAUUUGCCAAGGAUGUUUUCAUUGAUCAAGAACGAAAGUAAGGGGAUCGAAGACGAUUAGAUACCGUCGUAGUCUUUACCAUAAACUAUGCCAACUAGAGAUGGGGCAUCGUUCACUUACGACUUGCUCCGCACCUUAUGAGAUAUCAAAGUCUUUGGGUUCCGGGGGGAGUAUGGUCGCAAGGCUGAAACUUAAAGGAAUUGACGGAAGGGCACCACCAGGAGUGGAGCCUGCGGCUUAAUUUGACUCAACACGGGG